AGUGAACGCUGGCGGUAGGCCUAACACAUGCAAGUCGAACGGCAGCACAGGAGAGCUUGCUCUCUGGGUGGCGAGUGGCGGACGGGUGAGGAAUACAUCGGAAUCUACUUUUUCGUGGGGGAUAACGUAGGGAAACUUACGCUAAUACCGCAUACGACCUACGGGUGAAAGCAGGGGACCUUCGGGCCUUGCGCGAUUGAAUGAGCCGAUGUCGGAUUAGCUAGUUGGCGGGGUAAAGGCCCACCAAGGCGACGAUCCGUAGCUGGUCUGAGAGGAUGAUCAGCCACACUGGAACUGAAAAACGGUCCAGACUCCUACGGGAGGCAGCAGUGGGGAAUAUUGGACAAUGGGCGCAAGCCUGAUCCAGCCAUACCGCGUGGGUGAAGAAGGCCUUCGGGUUGUAAAGCCCUUUUGUUGGGAAAGAAAUCCAGCUGGCUAAUACCCGGUUGGGAUGACGGUACCCAAAGAAUAAGCACCGGCUAACUUCGUGCCAGCCGCCGCGGUAA
rnacentral:rRNA from 1 species